CUCAGCUCCACGUCCUCCUGUACCACAUCACUCCAUCUCUUAUCUAGCCCGUGUCGCGCCCGUUUAGCCCCCUCGAUCCGGCCGAACAUACAGACACACACACUCACACACACAGACAUACAGAGCCAUACAGAACCACAUCCAGACUCACGGACACUCACACACACACUAAAAAAACUAAGACAAAGAUCCCCCAUAUAGUCUGAACAUACUGUUGGGGUAAGUGGUGAUAUCGAGCACCUAUGAAGGCGGCACGGCACACAAGGGGGUAGUUGGCCAGCACUAAGCCCGGCCGCCUUUCUCUCCCGAGUAGCAAUGUGUUUAUACAUCACACUCAAUACUCAAUUGAAGCUGCACAUUCAUGCGUCCACAAAUGGCAAUACAAAGAUCCCCAUGUCACCUUUAACAGACUGUCGGGGCAGGUGCUGUGAGUCAGUAGUUGCAGUGCCUAUGAAGGCCGGCACUGUGGCGCACGAGGGGGUGGGUGGCCAGCAACCACCACGCCCCACCCGGGUCGCCUUUUUCUCCCCAUGCACCCCUUUGUGGUGGUCUAUUUCGGAAUGCACAGGGGGUUCGUGCGAAAGCUCUCAGCUUUGUGCAGACCACCGGCUCGACAGAACUGGACGUGUGGCCAUGGCCAUGUUUGACUCGGGGGAGGGGAGGGAGCCUCCGAAUGUUGGACGAGACGUUGUUAAGAUGGGACUCGCAGCCAUUGCGAUUCCGUUGACGGAGUGAAUGGCAAUAAACCUCGUAAAAGUUCGCAGAAGACUUGACGAGGGGGUGAUCGCGAACACCCUAACGGUGACUGUCGAGGUUAUAUUAAGUCGACUGAUAAUUAAUAUAAUUGCAUCAUCGUUGACUUUGAUUGUAAUGACGUGUAAUUAUUCUCGUAACAUUCACAACGAAUAUAUGAAUUGCAUUAAUAUCGUAAAAUUUACGUAUCUGAGACACUCACCGGAUUAGCUGCGUGGAGCGAAGAUGCCGUUGGUGGCCAUGUUGCACAGGUGACGUCAUGGUGGCCAUGUUGCUCGAGGGAUGCUAUGGCGGCCAUGUUGCACAGGUGACGUCAUGGUGGCCAUGUUGCUCGAGGGAUGCUAUGGUGGCCAUGUUUUACAGGUGACGUCAUGGUGGCCAUGUUGCUCGAGGGAUGCUAUGGCGGCCAUGUAGGCAUCCUGGCAGCUGAUUGGCCGGUGCAGUGGGCGUGUUGACUCAAUCCUAAGCGCGAGUUACUCUUACGAGCAAGAACUAUGAUCUCUUACCCACGACGUCGAUAUAUUUGACUCUGACAAUUUUUUCUCUUGUCAUGUGGAUCAUCGUAAUUCGAUCGUAAGCCUACAGCAGCAGCACUUGAGAUACAUAUGAUGAUUGUUUUGUGCGCCCAGGCCUAGGCUGAGAUUCUCGCUGUGUCCAAAACUCAGAGAAUAAACAUUUCCACAUGA